rnacentral:tRNA from 1 species
GCAGGUGUAGCUCAGUGGUAGAGUGCUUGCCUAGCAUGCUUGAGGCCUGGAUUCGAUUCCUGGCAUGGCA